CCUACGGGUGGCAGCAGUGGGGAAUUUUGGACAAUGGGCGCAAGCCUGAUCCAGCUAAUCCGCGUGUGGGAUGAAGGCCCUCGGGUUGUAAACCACCUUUUUACAGGACGAAAAGACACCCUCGAAUAAAGGGUGUUGCUGACGGUACUCUAAGAAUAAGCACCGGCUAACUACGUCCCAGCAGCCGCGGUAAUACGUAGGGUGCGUGCGUUAAUCGGAUUUACUGGGCGUAAAGGGUGCGCAGGCGGUUGAGUAAGGCAGAUGUGAAAUCCGCGAGCGUAACUCGGGCAUGGCAUAUGUGACUGCUCGACUAGAGUGUGUCAGAGGGAGGUGGAAUGCCAGGUGUAGCAGUGAAAUGCGUAGAUAUGUGGCAGAACACCGAUGGCGAAGGCAGCCUACUGGGACACAACUGACGCUGAGGCACGAAAGCGUGGGGAGCAAACAGGAUUAGAUACCCUAGUAGUC
rnacentral:rRNA from 1 species